GUGUGUGUGUGUGACCAAUUUCGGUCUGCCGUCGUUGCGGCUGCCUGUCCUCUUCUUCUUCGCGGCCUGUGUCCUUUUUUGAGGAUGCUAAAAAUCGCGACAUCUUAGCCAGAAUUUGGCUGGCCGGAUUAAGCAGUUUAUGGCCAGCAAAUGCUGUCAAUAAAACGCUAAGCGCUUCCCACUAAUCUCCAACCGUAUCUGUAGCUGUAUCUGUAUCUGUAUCUGUAUCUGUAGCUGCAUCUGUAUCUGUAUCUGUAUCUCUGCUCAUGUAUCUGCAGCUAUAAAUUUGGUGUGUUUAUUUUUUUAAUGCACUCCCCCCUCGACAGCCCAGCAGCUGGCAUUUGAAAUGCCAUCAAAAUAUGGUUCCGGAAUCGAGCCAAAUAUAGUACAAGUAUCUCUGAGUAUCUCGGAGUAUCUCAUGGAUGCGCAACGUUUUUGUGACAAUGCAAUCAAUUAGCAUACAAUUAAAAAAUGCUUAAACAAGGAAAUCAACUCGAGCUGCAGACGCACAGCCUUAGCUGUAUCUGUAUCUAUCGCUCAGCAUCUGUAUCUGUAUCUGUAUCCGUAACUGCAUCUGUAUCUUUGACUGCAUCUUUGUCUGUGUCCGUGCAGAUGCGUUUUUUUUGAUGACUUCGACAUGGCCACAGCAAACACUUAAUGCUCCAUAUAUUUCAGCUACACUGCAACAAAAAGUGCACGACUUUGCUUAAAAGAAGAUUUAACUAAAUUGACGUUUGAUUUAAAAUACUUAUUUUAUUAUAUAUAUUAAAUAUUAAACUGAAUAAAAUAUA